rnacentral:misc_RNA from 1 species
UACGGAGGGUGCAAGCGUUGUCCGGAAUCAUUGGGUGUAAAGGGUGCGAAGACGGAAGCCUAAGUCGGAGGUGAAAUCUUGCCGCUCAACGGUAAAAUGGCCUACGAUACUGGGUUUCUUGAGUUCGGAAGAGGUUGGUGGAAUUCGUGGUGUAGCGGUGAAAUGCAUAGAGAUCACGAAGAACACCGGUGGCGAAGGCGGCCAACUGGUCCGAUACUGACGCUGAGGCACGAGAGCGUGGUGAGCGAACAGG